rnacentral:lncRNA from 1 species
UUGGACCGGCCUGAUUCUAGCGACUAGCGGUACAUUAAGCUACAUGUAAAGUUAAUACGUAACUCAUCAUUAUCUUAAGGAAGGAAAAAGCUAAGCAUCAAAGCCUUUCUCUUCUUCCUUUCCAUUCCAUUUCCGUUACAUUUUUUCUUCUUCUUUGUCUAAGAUAUUCAACACUAACACCUUGCUACUUUCGUCUGGAGACUGGAAUUACCCAAUUCAUUAAGAAACCGAAGUUAUAAUCUAAAAUUGAGGAGGAACUAGAGCAGCUGUUACCAAAAGAGAAGAUUCCAAUUAAUCUCUAAGCAAGGUUGAAACAAAAGUAUAUCAAUAAGAGGUAAUUCGUGUAUGUUUUUCUAUGACCAUAAGUAAUUGAGUAAUUUUGAUGUAAUCAUAUUGUUUGCUUGUGAAAUUGGUUAGGUAUUAGUAUUGUAUAACAGUAUAUAAGUUCUGAAGUGAUAAGGGAGGAUUUUCAUGAAAAUCCUCGGUUAGAACCAUGACUAAAAACUUAUAAAAUCUGAAAUCCUAAGUUAUGCAUGUAAGAUGCUUGAUAAAACACCUCAAAGAGGUUUAAUGCCUAGAAAUUGAUAAUUGAGCAACGCUUGGGGCUAUAUAAUCUUUAUAUAUGUAUUAUAAGAGGACUAAUGAUUCUUGAGUAUUAGAAUAAGUCCACAACAAAAUUCGUAAGUUUUUGCUAAACUAGAAUUUGAUGAAAAAUGUGGCCAACAGGGCAUUUUCAAGCCUCUAAAAUCAUGUCAUAAAGAAUCUGAAUUGGUCAUGUUAUAUUUUUAUAAAAAAACCUUGUAGUACCAUAAAGAACAUAUCAAAAUUAAAUUUGGAUGCAAUCGGAUAAAGGGACUGCAAGAUACAAAAUCGCAAACUAGGUAGGAAAAUAGCAUAGUUGCUUGAAAUUUACAGAAUGGGCUGACAAGCAACCUUUUACCCGCUGUAAAUUUGCUUUAAAUUGCUUGUUUUGUUCAAGUAUUAUUUUUUAAAAAUACUAUAUAGUACCACCUUGAUGCUGUAAAAAUUUGGAGGUUAACGGACUUGUAUAUUAAAAGAUAAAAAAUGGCAAAAUAGGCUUGAAGCUAAGCGAAAUCUGUAGAUUUCUUGGCAAAAUUUGCAUAUUUUUGGACUUUUUGGCCCGCUGAAUCUAUGCCUUGGAGAACCUGUUUUAAUCAAGUAUUAUUUUUAUAAAACACUGUGAAGUACCAUCAAUAACAUAUUAAAAAUUGGAUUCAAUCGAAUGUACAAAUUUCAAGUUAUAAAAGUUCAAAGUAGGCAAGAAGUGAAGCGAAGCUACAGAUUUUGGACGUACCAGCAUCGCGCUAGGCGCAGCCACGCGCUGUGGCUGCCCAGCUGCGUGCAGCGUUUUGUUUUCAAUUCCAAUCGCGAUGCCGAGUUGUUUUUAAUCUGAUAUUAGACGCUAUUUAAAUGAGCUAUUAAAAAUCAAUAAAAAUUAAUAUUGUAUAUAUAUUUAAUCUAUAAUACUACUAAUAAAUCCAAUGAAAUGGAUAAAGUUAAGAUUGAAAUAUUAAAGUUUGGAAAUGCAAGUUUAAAACGAAGUUCAUGAAAUACAAAUGUAUUAAGCUAUGUAAUAACAUUACGUGUGUUACAUAGACGUUACGCAGAAACAACGCUUCGGGUACACGAAAACAUAUUGCUAAGGUAGUUAAUAGACUCCACAACACGCUUGUAUGAGGUGGUCGUUGCCCGAAUCGUUUAUAAUACAGUUGAUAGAGUGGAACUCUCUAGACACCUCAACCCAACGUCUAUAUUGAGACGAGAACCUUGGUACAAUCGAUCAAACAAUGAAAUCAGCGUUGAAUGAAACACCAACGACGCCUAAACCUCGUGUUUAUAUUGAAUCAAGAACCUCGACACAAUCGACGAUUGAUGCAGUCGAAGACGUCACAUACAACGAUGAAUUAUUGUAUGAUAAGUCAAAUUGAAUAUCAAAGAGCAAAUAAGAAAUUAGCUUAGAAAUUCUUCAAAGAACCAAAAGUAGAUAAUAAUUCUCACAAGAAUUGAUAAAUCUGAAUAUUGAAUAAUUGUUGUAUGAAUUACAUUCAUAUGACCUAUUUAUACUAAUAAGAAAACCCUAGAAUCCAAUAAGGAAUUAACAAUUAGAUUUGGAAUCAAAAUCCUAUCUAUUAGAAUCCUAAUUACAUUAGAAAUAUGAAAGAUAUUGGCACAUCCCUAAAUAUAAAAAAAAUAAAUUAAAAUCUACUGAAAAAUGUGUAAAAUUUGCUGAAAAACGUGUCCUCAAAAAUUGUGCCCGCGACCCAACUCGACAACGUCAGUUUUUGGCCUUCCCUCGGCGCGACAGCGCCAUUACUCCAAAGUUGACACUCACUCUUAGUGUGGCAGCGCUAUGCUUUAACCUACGAUAGGCGCGGCAGCGCCAGAACUCCUGAACUUGAUGGCAAACCCUGGAUACUUGGCGCGAUAGUGCCAAGUUCUUCACAACUCUAGCACGGCAGUGCUAGUUGCCCCGAACUUGAUCCUUUGCACAUUUUCGAGUCUUGGCUUGGCGCAACUAUUUGCAUUACGUUAACGAACUUAGACUCCCACUCCAAUACCUCUAAACUCGUUCCUUUUUCACUCCAAGCUCUUUGAAUAAGUCCAUUAAGCCCUUCCUUGAAACGUUUUGCUCGACCUCUCAUCACGGAUCCAACUGGAACUUGCAUCGGAUCCGCUCCAUAACCUCCAUUUGAAUUCCAGCUAGGCAUGUCAUCAUUCCUCUCCUCUUGAAAAGGAUUUGUCCUCAAAUCAUCACCUACAUCAAACAGACUUAGAUUAGAAACAUUGAAUAUUGCACUAACAUUAUACUCACUCGGUAAAUCUAGUUUGUAGGCAUUGUCAUUAAUGCGCUCAAGAACUUGAAAUGGAUAAUCUCCUCGUGGUAGUAAUUUUGAAUACCUUUGAAUUGAGAAUCUUUCUUUCCGUAUAUGUAACCACAACCCAAUCUCCUGGUUCAAAGAUAACUUGACUUCAACCCUUGUUGGCCUGUUUAGCAUAUUGUUCCGUCAUUUUUUCAAUGUUGAGUCUCUCCUUUUCAUGUACCUGCUUAACAAAUUCAAACUUUUUCUAUCCAUACAUGUUAGUAUAUUCAGAAAUAGGUAAUGGCGUUAAAUCCAAUGAAGUUAAAGGAUUAAAACCAUAAACAAUCUCAAAUGGUGAAAAUUUAGUAACAUAAUGAACUGAACGAUUAUAAGCAAACUCAACAUGCGGUAAACAUUCUUCCCAGUGACUGAUAUUCUUUUUAAUGAUAGCCCUUAACAAAGAAGACAAAGUUCUAUUUACUACUUCAGUUUGGCCAUCUGUUUAUGGAUGAUAAGUAGUAGAAAAUAACAAUUUAGUUCCCAAUUUUAUCCACAAAGUCUUCCAAAAAUAACUUAAGAACUUAGCAUCAUGAUCAGAAACAAUUUUUCUAGGCAUACCAUGCAAACACACAAUUUCCCUAAAGAAUAUGUUGGGAGAUUGCAUAUUUAAAAUUUGAUGUUGAAAGUAAAUGUUCAUGAUUAUAUGUAAAGUCCUUAAAAGAAUACAUGUACAAGGACUUAGUGAUAGAUCAAACUUGUUAGGUUGAUCUGGACUUUAAUGUUUACCAUUCUGUAAAUGAAUGUAUAGAAGAAAAGAUCAAAGUUGUUAGGUUGAUCUAUGUCUUGAGAUGUAAUAGAUAGGCUUCCACUGAAUCAUAGUCUAUCGAGAUGAUCAAGAGAUUGCAGAAGACAAGGCAGAAUUGUAGAGCAUCAAGGAUCGUAGUGUAUCUUCUUUGAAGGGCCUCUCCGAAGUCGUAGAGUGGUCCAAAUGCCUGUCAAGCUAAAUCCGAGGUCGUAGUGUGCUCUCGAAAGUGUAGAGUCUGCAAGUCAAGCAAGUGAAGAUCGUAGUGUACCAGUUCUUAAGAGAAAUCGUAGUGUUCUUGUUUAGCAGUAUCAGAUCAAGCACCAAGGAGACAAGACACCACGAUCAGAAUCGUAGAGCUUCAUCUAUCUGUGUCAGAAACAUCGAGCCUCGUCCAUUUGUUUAAAGAUAAAUCACAACAAAUAUGGAAUAAGCUAUAGACGUUGACGUCCUAGGAAAUCCCAAUGACACAACAGUCAUCUUUAGUAUGUAACAAAGAAACGUAUUGAAGAAGCUAAGGAAAGUACUUUGGGUCAGCAGAAAACACCUUUUCAGGUGUUAAGUGAAACAGCAGUGUGUUGUGUCAGUGGGCCAGUCUGCUAAUUAGAAGUUGUGCAAAAAGUCUCCAUCAAAGCUCAGAAAUGUCAAAUGCAUUUAAUGCUUCAACGGGUGUCUUCAACGGAUACAUUUCAAAGACAUCAUAUAUACAGAACAUCAGCAGAUGAAAGGAUUAAGCAAGUACUUAACAAAAAUACUGAAGAACACUCAAUGCUCAACUCUACGAUCUGAAAAAGAAAGCUUGCUCAACCACUCAGUUCUUUCGAACACAAGCUUAACGGCAACUUAGUAACACCAUUCAAGAACUCAACUAUUAUCAAGUAAAGGAAGAAGUUCCAAGUCAGAAGGACUUGAAGAGUUCUAAGUGAACUGAGAAGUACCAAGUCUGCUGGACUUGAAGAGUUCAAUAGUGAACUAAGAAGUUCCAAGACUGCUGGUCUUAAAGGAAUCUGUGAGAUUCAGAAGUUGUAAAGAUAUCCUUAGUGGAUUUCCUACUCGAGGAGUAGAAGAGUGGACUAGGAGCUUUGAAUGCUUUGAACCACUUAAAAUCACUAUGUCUCUUAUAUUCUUGUCAUAACUGCUAUAAUUGUCAUAACUGCUUUACUCCUAUUAAUUCAUUAUAUCUUGAAGGAAAAACAAACAAAUCUUAAUUCCGCUGUGUUUAAAAUCAUUAUCAAAACUAACAAGUAUUUUGAAGAGAAAGAUUUUAAAAUAUCUAUUUAACCCCCCUUCUAGAUAACUAUUGUGCCUCUGGGAAUUAACAAUUGGUAUCAGAGCAGGUUCUAUCAAACAGCCUACAAAGCUUAUAUAGAUCCAAUGGCACAUCUAAUAAAAGAAUCAAAGACUAGAGGAAGAAGCAAGCCACCUAUGUGCAACAAAGAUAAAUUCACCAACUGGAAAGUUCGUAUGCAAGCCUACAUGGAUUCAAUAGAUGAAGAUCUAUUUGAAACUGUUCAAAAUAGGCCCUACAUUCCUACCAAGCUUGCUCCUACUGCAGACGACCCAAACAGAAUUCAGAUCAAGGUCAAAGAAGAAUGGACUGACAACGAAAAGAAAGCUGUCCAACUCGAUAAAAAGGCCAAGAACAUUUUGUUCCAAUCUUUAGAAGAUGACUUGUUUGAGAAUGUGGUCAAUAGCAAAACAACAAAGGAAGUAUGGGAAGCAUUGCUCAUCAUGCAUGAAGGAACAGAAGAAGUCAGAGAAAACAAGCAAUCUCUCCUGACUCAGCAAUAUGAAAUGUUUGCACACGUUCAAGGAGAAAAUGUCACUUCCACCUAUGAAAGAUUCAAUGUUCUGCUCAACUCUUUUCGAGCCUUUGGAAAGAUCUAUCCAAAUAAAGAUCUAAUCAUAAAGUUCAUAAGAGCCCUACCUAGCAAAUGGGAUGCCAAAACCACUGCUAUCAGAGAAUCAAAGAAUCUUCAUGAAAUGAUUGUCUAACAAUUAUAUGGAAAGCUUCUCACGUAUGAACUGGAGCUGACUCAACGAGCAGAAACUCUUUCUGAAGGAAGAAAGAAUGACAAAGGGAUUUCUCUAAAAGCAACAGACAAUAUUUCUAAAGCCAACACUGAGAAUGACUCUGACUAUGAUGAAGAUGAUGAUGAGGACUUUGCAAUAUUGGUGAAAAGACUCAGAAGGUUCAUGUGUUAAGGCAGAAACAGCAAACCUAAGAAGUUCAACAGCUAUAACAGCCAGGAACAAAUAAAUGACUUAUGCUACAACUGCAAAAAGCCUGGCCAUUUCAUUGCAAACUGCAACAAGCCUCUUAGAGAAGAACUCAAGAAAAAAUCAAAUACAAAGAAAGAAUUCAAAGGAAAUUAGAGGCUCCAGAAGAAAGACAAGGGUCUUGUAGCCGGAGGAUCGUGGAGUGACUCAGAUAAUGACUCAAAUCCCGAAUCAGGAGAUGAUGAUGAUCCUCAAAUGACAAAUCUUUGUCUGAUGGCCAAACAUGCAAAGGAUAAGAAGAGCUCUAAUACACUUGAAGUAAGUAUAGAUGAGGUAUUUGACUUUAACUCUUCUGAUAUAGAUAUUGAUGACUUAAGAACUGCUCUACAUGGCAUAACAUCUGAUCUGCAUCAAUAUAUGAAAUGGUUCAGAGUUCUGUCCAAAGACUAUUCUGUUCUUCAAAAGAGAAAGAGAAAGUUCAGGAAAAACUGAAAACAACUCUUCUAAGUACUAACUCUCUCUCCAAAUUUGAAGCUGAGAAUAAGUUCUUAAAACAGACCAAUGAACUUUAUGCACAAAGAGAGUCAAGUCUGACCUCUAAAAUUAAGGAACUAGAAAGGACAAUUUCUACAUAGAAUAAAUCCUCUUCUUCCAUGAACUCCCUGAUCUUCAGUUAGAGAAGUACAUCUGACAGAAAAGGUUUAGGUUUUGAGGAAUCCACCUCAGAACCUUAUGUGAACAAAAUAAAGGAAACUAGUUCUAAUAAUGUUUUAAGCUUUAGUAGAAUCAUUACAUUUGUGAAAUCCUCACAGAAGGAAAAACCAGUCCAACCCUCCUCUUCAGAUCCAAUCUAUGUUCCAAGGAAUAAAGGAUCUCAUAUUGGCCUAGGUUUCAAAAAAGAGAAAAGUAACUCAGUCCCUACUCUCCAACCUCGAAAGGUCGUAGAGUCAAGCAAAAUCGACUCCAUGAACCAACUAGGAAGGAACAGUAGAGUUAAGCCUCACUCUUCCCAAAUCAUGAAACACAAGGACACAUGGAAAAAGGAGAAUAAGUAUAAAGGAAGGAUUGCUGAAAACCCACAUAAGUCCAAAUGGAGGAAGAAUCCACGCACACACAAGCAUGCAUUAUAUUAGAUAUUUCGUAUGUAAUAAGACUGGUCAUAAGGCGGUAAUAUGCUACCAUAAUCCUAUGCAUGUGAGACCUAGUAUUUAGCAAAUAUGGGUUCCCAAGGGUACUAACAAAGUAGGACCCAUGCAAGUAUGGGUACCAAAAUGAGAGUUUUAUUUUACCACAGGAACCAAGCUCCAUGAUCACAACCUGGUAUUUGGACAGUGGAUGCUCAAGGCACAUAAUAGGGAACAAAACCCUUCUAUCUAAUUAUAUAGAAAAGGAAGGUCCGUCAGUCAUCUUCGGAGACAAUAACUCUGGCAAGACAAAACGAUAUGACUCAGCUGGGAAUGGUGCAGUAUCCUUCAGUAAAGUAGCCUAUGUGGAAGGUCUACAACACAAUCUUCUGAGCAUAAGCCAAAUAUGCGACAAGGGUCAUCAAGUCACUUUUCUCAACAAUCAAUGUCAAGUCAGAGAUCUGAAGACAUCUUCUAUAAAGCUCACUGGAACAAGAGAAGGAAAUCUCUAUACUGUCAAUCUUGAUCAACUAAGCUCGGAUGAGACAAUAUGUUUUUUGGCUAAAGCAUCUAAAGAAAUGAGCUGGUUAUGGCAUAAAAGACUAUCUCAUCUCAACUUCAAAAGCAUGUCUAAACUGGCCUCCAAGGAUCUAGUAGAAGGUCUACCCAAGUUCAUCUUCGUCAAAGAAAGGCCAUGCAAUGCCUGUCAGCUUGGAAAGCAGACUAGAAGCUCAUUUAAAAGCAAGACUGUCAACUCAAUUGACAAGCCUCUGCAGCUGCUUCACAUGGAUCUAUUUGGGCUAAUUCUAACAACAAGCUUUGGAGGAAAGAGAUACCCACUGGUCGUAGUGGAUGACUACACCAGAUUCACACGGGUGUUCUUUCUAAACUCAAAAGAUGAAAUGAGCUCCCAACUAAUCAAGAUGUUCAGACUAGUGAUGAAUGAGAAAGGGGAGAAAAUCAAGGCUAUAAGGAGUGAUCAUGGAAGAGAAUUCGACUUCUCUGAGAUGGACCAGUUCUGCUCAGACAAUGGCAUCAGUCACAACUUCUCAGCUCCAUGAACUCCUCAACAAAAUGGAGUAGCUGAGAGAAAGAACAGAACGAUGAUAGAGGCUGGAAGAACUCUACUAGCAGCAGCCCAUCUGCCUGAAUACUUUUGGGCAAAAGCUGUCAACACUGCAUGCUACACUUAGAACAGAUCGCUUAUUCACCCUACAAUAAAGAAGACUUCCUACGAACUAUGGAAAGGAAGAAAUCCAAAUGUCAGCUACUUCCAUGUAUUCGGCUGUGCGUGCUACAUUUUCAACAAUGGGAAGCAGUAUCUGACAAAGUUCCAACCCAAGUCAGACGAAGGAAUCUUUCUCGGAUAUGCCGCAGACAGUAAGGCUUAUAGGGUGUUCAACAAGAAAACGCUGAGUGUUGAAGUCUCGAUCCACAUCAUCUUCGAUGAAAUAGAUUUGGACAAAACAGUGCCUCAAGACACUACGAAUGACAAUUCAGACGAGAUCGUCGAGCUCAACACCACGAUCGUAGUCCCAGAAAAUGAAAUCUUCAAGCAAGGAGAGGAGAUCGUAGAGAGAACUACGCAAGACAACGAACCUCCACAUCAAGAAGCAGAAAUUGAUCUUGAAAAUAUCAGACAAGAAGGCAUCAGGACAGAUGUUCCAACAGGAAAUAGAUGGGCAAAAGAUCACACUCAAGACUUAAUCAUUAGAGAUCCAAAUGCAAGGGUCAAAACCAGAGCUGCCACUCAGAACGAGUGUUUCUAUCUAAGCUUUCUGUCACAAAUGGAACCAAAGAAGAUAGAAGAUGCAAUGGAAUACUCCAGUUAGAUAGAAGCCAUGUAAUAAGAACUGAAUCAAUUUGAAAGAAGCAAAGUAUGGAGAUUAGUUCCAAGACCAAGAAACCAUCCAGUCAUUGGCACCAAGUGGGUCUUCAGAAAUUAGAUGGAUGAAGAUGGAGUAAUAACGAGGAAUAAGGCAAGACUAGUGGCCAAAGGUUACUCUCAAGAGGAAGACAUUGACUACGAUGAGACCUUUGCACCUGUUGCCAGAUUAGAAGCCAUCAGAAUAUUUCUUGCCUUUGUUGCUCACAUGAAAUUCAAAGUGUUUCAAAUGGAUGCCAAAAAUGCAUUCCUGAAUGGUGAACUUCAAGAAGAAGUAUAUGUGGAACAACCUCCAAGUUUCAUCAAUUCAACUCUCUCUCAUUAUGUCUAUAGAUUAGACAAAGCCUUAUAUGGUCUUAAACAAGCACCUAGAGCAUGGUAUGAAAUACUACCUAACUUUCUUAUUGAAAAUGGAUUCACUAAAGAUAGAAUAAAUACCACAUUAUUUCUUAGAAAGCAUAAAGGCAAAGUCUUAUUAGUUCAAAUAUAUGUUAAUGACAUUAUCUUUGGUUCUACUGAUGAAAAGUUGUGUAAGAGAUUUGCCAAGCUUAUGCAGAACAAGUUCGAAAUGAGCAUGAUGGGUGAGCUGAACUUCUUUCUUGGAUUGCAAGUAAAGCAAACUGAUGAAGGAAUUUUCAUAAACCAAGCCAAGUACAUUAAAGACUUACUUAAAAAGUAUGGCAUGGAAUCAGCCUCUCCCAUGAAAACUCCAAUUGCUCCAGCAACCAAGCUUGACAAAGAUAAGAAAGGUAAAAGUAUUGAUAUAACUCAAUACAAAGGUAUGAUAGGCUCUCUUCUAUAUCCAACUGCCAGUAAAUCAGACAUAAUGUUUGCAACAUGCAUAUGUACUAGAUUUCAAGCUAAUCCUAAGGAAUCACACUUAACUGUUGUAAAAAGGAUUUUUAGGUACCUCAAAGGCACACCUCACAUGGGGAUUUGGUAUCCCAAGGAGUCCUCUUUUGAACUGACUGGAUAUACAGAUGCUGAUUUUGCAAGCUGCAAAGUAGAUAGAAAAAGUACUAGUGGCACCUGUCAACUGCUAGGAAACAGACUUGUGUCUUGGUUUAGCAAGAAGCAAAACUCAGUAUCUACAUCAAUAACAGAAGCUGAAUACAUUGCUGCUGACAGUUGUUGUGCUCAAAUAUUAUGGAUGAAAAUUCAGUUAGCAGAUUAUGGGUUUGACUUCAAAUCUAUACUUGUUCAUUGUGAUAACACAAGUGCCAUAGCAAUAACACACAAUCCUUCAUGCAUUCUAAGACUAAGCAUAUAGAAAUUAGAUAUCAUUUUAUUAGGGACCAUGUUCAAAAUGGAACCAUAUCUUUACAAUACAUCCCUACUGAAAAUCAACUUGUUGAUGUCUUUACAAAGCCUCUAGAUGAAUCUAGAUUUAAUAAAUUAAUUAGUGAGCUAGGCAUGCUAAAUCUACAACCAUAAAACCUAUGCUCUAGUUUGGACUAACUAUGCAGAUAUAAAGGCUAUGUUCAAAAUCGUAGACAUGACUAAAGAAAGACCACAAUCGUAGAGCUUCCUCAACAAAAUAAAGAAGCAUCCUGUGAUGACAAAAGUUCCAACAAAUCAAAGCAAUCCCUCUGUCAAGCGCAUCAGGGACAAACCUAACCCUUAAUUCACUCUAAAAGGUUGGCCCUUCCUGAGCUACCUUAACUCAAGAGAAAUGCUAAGUCAAAAGCUCAUCACAAGGACCAGAGCAGAUGAUGUUCGUAGAGCAAAUACAGGAGUGGACUCAACGAUCACAAUGACAACCUCAACGACCGUAGUGCUACCUCGACGAUCGUAGUUCUCCCAAAGAAUACACUAGCUCAAAAGGAGCUAAGGGGUAUUUUACACCUAAGAUUAAAAUCAUGGAGCCACAGUUCUGACACAUGCCCCACUAAGAAAAUUGAGAGGAGGGAAGUUACAAGUACAGUUUGAAAAUAUCUUUUUGAAAUCAGAAGUUCAAAAAGCUUAUUUCUCUCUCUACCAGCAGAAACCCUAGCUUUCAGAAUCGAUCAAUAAUCCUUAGUGCAAAGAAAUCAAUAGCGACUUCAAAUAUUAUCACUGGUUAUCGACUCUAUUUCGAUGAGUUCAAGACAGUUGACCCCAAAUUUCAUAAAAUUCUAUCUCUGGUAAAGAAAGCUGGUCUUGAAGAAGCUCUGGGCACCAUCACAUGGAUCUACCCAAAGUUAAUAAAGGAGUUUUACAGCAACAGAGUUCUUGAGAACAACACCAUCACCACAAGAGUCAGGGGAGUACAAAUCAAACUCAAGGCUGAAGACAUAAAUCUGGCCCUAGGCUUCAAUUCAAAGGGACUCCUGUCGAUAGAGGUCAUCGACUUCCAUGAAGGACUGAAGAGGAUGCAUCACAAAAAUAAUGAGACUGUUAAGGGGUACAAGGAGUUUCCCCAAAAAUAUGAGUUUUUGGCUGACAUUAUUGGAAAGUGCAUAUGUUGCAAAAGCUCUAGCCACGACUCCGUGAAUGAAGUACAACUGAAGCUUAUGACAGCAAUCUGCUAUGGAAUCCAGCUCAACUUUGGAGCCCUAAUCAUCGAUUGGAUUGGAAAGUGGAUUCUCAAUUCAAAGAAAUCAAAAAGCUCUGGUAAGAUGCUCUACGAGCGGUUUAUAAACAUCAUCCUGCAGUUAGCACUGGGUGACAAAAUUGGAGAUAAUGAAGGAGAAUCCAUUAAUCCCAACAUGAGGAUGACCCAUAAGCUGUUUGAAAACUGGAAAAGAAUUCCAGCUGAAAAUGUCAGGAUGAUAUCUGAAUCCAGUGGAAGAACUGGUGAAGCAAAAGAGUCUGGGAUACCAGGAAACAUGUCUGUUGUAAAGGAAAGUGAAGAAGAAGAAGAAGAAUUCAACAAGGAAGAACCCAUUGCUUUAAUCAGAAGGGUAAAAGAAAAAUGAAGGCUCAAGUGGCAGAGGAGCCUCAAGGCUCGACUACUGAGGAACCUCAAAAGAGUUCAGGCACUGAAACUCUGAAGAAAUUGAAAAGAAAAGAACAGCAGUCUGAGGAAGAAGAAGAAGACAGAGCUACCAUCUCUCAGCUGCUCAAGAAAGGAAAGCGGAGUCACAAGUCAAAGAAGCCCUCUUUUUCUUUAAUCGUGGAGUCUUUACCAAUCGUAGAGUCCAGGCUUGACACCACUCCAGAAGAAGAUGCUACAACAGCUUCUCAGCCUGAUCAAUCUUUCAGAACUGAAGCUGAAGAAAGUUCUAAGGUUGUAGCUCAGCCUAAAAAGUCAAGGAGAAAACUAGUCAAGAAGUACAUCCUUAUCAAUGAAAAGGUGUUAAAAGAAUAAGAUAAAAGGAUAGUUGCUGACAAAGGGCUACCUGAAGCUGAUAAGGAAAAUAUGGCUCCAGUUGAGGGCGAGUUUCCUGAAGUUCUUAUACUAGAAAAUACCCCAGCUGAGGGGGAGCCGUUCAAAAUUCAAGAGGAUGAUCAAGUUGAGGGGGAGUCUCACGAAAUACAGUUGUCAGAAAAGACUGCAAUUGAGGAAGAAUUUCCAAGAGAUCAUCAUGAAUCUCCCACAGUUCCUCCAAAGACUCUAGCUUCAGGAACUGCAGAAAUGGAAAGUAUUGAAGCUAUGGAAGAUGAGAGAGCAGAAGAACAAAGAAGUCAAAUGGAGAUAAUUGAUAUGGUGGAAAUUUCAAAUGAAGACAGAGAAGAAGAAGAGGAUGACGAAGUUGAAAUCAUUGUUGUGGGCUGUAAUGGACAUAGGAGAGCUAACUACAAUCAACUGUUCUCUUAUCUACCUAUGAUGCCAUUUCACAGAGCUCAAAUCCUCAAUUUAUGGGAUCACAUGUUUUGAACCUUCAAAGCCUAUCCAGCAAUCUCGGUGCUAGCUCAUGGAUUCCCAGGCAAAAUCAACUUUGCCCGAAAGCUGAUCACCAACAAGCCAUCUUCAGAAAAUGGGCACAAGGUACAAACUAUUCUUGUCUCUUUUAGAAUAAAUCACUGUCCACCAUCAUUUUUCAAUCAAUUCUAUGAAUCAUUAAGGUGGUUGGAAGUGAUACUUCAUCCACUCAAUCAAUUUCCAGUUACAAAAUCCCAACAAUCUGUAACUGAUGAGCCAAAUGUGCCAAACUUUGUGUUAAUCCAAUCUCCUAUCAUCUCUCACUCUACGAUUAUUGAGCCACAUCCAAUCGUAGAGUCACCUGCUCAAAACGUAGAGUCACCCUCUCCUACAGUUCAAUUACACACACCAGCCCCUCCAACAGAUGUCCCUUCCUCAUCAACAAAUGAAUAUUUCAAUCUUGAUCUUGCUCUCUACAACAUGCAAGAUCAAUACACAAGAGCCUCUCCUCCAAAUAAUCUACAACUCCUUUAGCUUAUAUCUGAUCUCCCUACCAAAACAGAGUUGUCAAAAGAAUCUAAGAAAGUGACCAAGGACAUACAAAAAGAUCUUGAAGUUCACUCUGAACUUGUUCAUAUGAGGCUGACUCAUUUGAUUGAUGUUGCCAAUGCUCUCCCAAGUAACCUAAGUUCUGAACUGACAAAGAAGCUUAGGGAGAUAAUAAAAGAGAUGAUUCAGAGUAUCAAUGAAAGGGAUCAAAUCCACUUUCUAGCUGCCAAGAAACACAGGGAUGCUGUUCUUAUUUUACAAAAUACUCAGGAAGCCCAAAAUAAACUUUUGAAGGAAAAUCUCACGAGUCUAAAAACCCAAAUGAAAGAAUUCCAAGCAUUCUCCAUGGGUCAAAUGCAACAAACAAAAAAUGUCUUGGCAAUUCUGCAAAAGAGAGAAACUCGCACCGACUCUCUGAUCCAGGAAAAUCGUGCAGACAUUAAUCAAUCCAAGACUCAACUCCACGAACUCGUACAAGGCAUGACUCGACUAUCUGAAGAUAUUCGCACCCUUGAUGCUGACAUAAAGGGGGAGAAAAAAGGUGAAGGAGACAAAGGAAGAGGCAAAGGCAAAGGCAAAAUUUCUCAAUUCUCAAGAAGUUCUCCUGCAAGUUCUCCUACAAGACAGUUUCGCCAUCAGACUCCACGACCUGAACAACAGCAAAUUCUCAUGGUACAACCACUAAUGAGUCAAAGGCCUUCUCCCAGCUCACAAGAAGUGACCACCAUUGGUCUAAGAAUGCCAAUACGAGAUCCUGCAUUAAUGAAUAGACACGAUCAUUCGCAAAGGCUAAGUCAAAGGGAGAUGGAAGAUAUAGCAUUGAGAGAUGAAGUCAGCAGGAGAAGAAGAGCUCAAGAGUAUGCAAAUCCUCCAAGGAACAAAAGGCAGAAGAAAUAGAGAUAAGUUGAAACUCAUUUCUUAUUGAUGUAACUAAGCUUAACUGUAAUAUCUGUCUUUACAAACAAAUAAAUUCAUGCUUAUUCUCUAGAGGUUUCAGCUGCUCACUGAAACACUAAGUUAUAUUUACUUUCUAUCAACUGCAUCUAAUAAUUAAUAAUCAUGAUACAAAUCUCCUUGGCUAUGUCAACAUUAAAUAGGGGGAGAUUGUUGGGAGAUUGUAUAUUUAAAAUUUGAUGUUGAAAGUAAAUGUUCAUGAUUAUAUGUAAAGUCCUUAAAAGAAUACAUGUACAAGGACUUAGUGAUAGAUCAAAAUUGUUAGGUUGAUCUAGACUUUAAUGUUUAUCAUUCUGUAAAUGAAUGUAUAGAAGAAAAGAUCAAAGCUGUUAGGUUGAUCUAUAUCUUGAGAUGUAAUAGAUAGGCUUCCACUGAAUCAUAGUCUAUCGAGAUGAUCAAGAGAUUGCAGAAGACAAGGCAGAAUUGUAGAGCAUCAAGGAUAGUAGUGUAUCUGCUUUGAAGGGCCUCUCCGAAGUCGUUGAGUGGUCCAAACGCCUGUCGAGCCAAAUCAGAGGUCGUAGUGUGCUCUCGGAAGCGUAGAGUCUGCAAGUCAAGCAAGUGAAGAUCGUAGUGUACCAGUUCUUAAGAGAAAUCGUAGUGUUCUCGUUUAGCAGUAUCAGAUCAAGCACCAAGGAGGCAAGACACCACGAUCAGAAUCGUAGAGCUUCAUCUAUCUGUGUCAGAAGCAUCGAGCCUCGUCCAUUUGUUUAAAGGUAAAUCACAACAAAUAUGGAAUGAGCUAUAGAUGUUGACAUGCUCAGAAAUCCCAAUGACACAACAGUCAUCCUUAGUAUGUAACAAAGAAACGUAUUGAAGAAACUAAGGAAAGUACUUUGGGUCAGCAGAAAACACCUUUUCAGGUGUUAGGUGAGACAGCAGUGUGCUAUGUUAGUGGGCCAGUCUGCUAAUCAGAAGUUGUGCAAAAAGUCUCCAUCAAAGCUCAGAAAUGUCAAAUGCAUUUAAUGCUUCAAUGGGUGUCUUCAACGGACACAUUUCAAAGACAAAUAUAUACAGAACAUCAACAAAUGAAAGGAUUAAGCAAGUACUGAACAAAAAGGCUGAAGAACACUCAACGCUCAACUCUACGAUCUGAAAAAGAAAGCUUUUUUAGCCACUCAGUUCUUUCGAACACAAGCUUAACGGCAAUUGAGUAGCACCAUUCAAGAACUCAACUAUUAUCAAGUAAAGGAAGAAGUUCCAAGUCAGAAGGACUUGAAGAUUUCUAAGUGAACUGAGAAGUACCAAGUUUGCUGGACUUGAAGAGUUCAAUAGUGAACUAAGAAGUUCCAAGACUGCUGGUCUUGAAAGAAUCUGUGAGAUUCAGAAAUUGUAAAGAUAUCCUUAGUGAAUUUCCUACUUAAGGAGCAGAAGAGUGGACUAGGAGCUUUGAAUGCUCUGAACCACUUAAAAUCAUUGUGUCUCUUAUAUUCUUGCCAUAAAUGCUAUAACUGUCAUAACUGCUUUACUCUUAUUAAUUCAUUAUAUCUUGAAGGGAAAACAAACAAAUCUUAAUUCUGCUGUGUUUAAAAUCAUUAUCAAAACUAACAAGUAUUUUGAAGAGAAAGAUUUUAAAAUAUCUAUUCAACCCCCCCUUCUAGAUAACUAUUGUGCCUCUGGGAACUAACAGAAUAAAUCAGCUAUAUGGGAUGCAUCAUCAGUUUUGUGACAUGGAAUAAAGUGUGUCAUCUUUGAAAAUCUAUCCACAAUCACAAAUAUAUAAUCAUUACCAUGCUUAGUCAUAGGUAAAACCAACACAAAGUCUAUAAACAAAUCAAUCCAAGGUUCAUUUGGUAUAGGCAAUGGUGUAUAAAAUCCAUGGAAUUUAACACGAGAUUUAGACUGACCACAAGUAAUGCAUCUAUCACAAAUUUUUUACACAUCUCGUUCCAUAUGAGGCCAAUAAAAAUGUUCUUUUAAAACAAAGUUUUAUUACUAUCAAAGUGUCUCAUUAAACCACCCCCAUGUGAUUCCAUAACCAAUAACUCACUCAAAGAACAUGCAGGUAUACAUAAUUUAUUCUCACAAAAUAAAAAUCCAUCAAUUUUGAAGUAUUUACCUAAUACAUUCUUUUCACAAGUUUUAAACUCUUCGUCGAAAUCAUAGUCAUUAGCAUAAAAUUCUUUGAUUCGUUCAGAACCAAGUAAUUUUGUAUCAAGAGUAUUCAUUAACACAUACAUUCGAGAUAAAGCAUCUGCAACGACAUUCUCUUUACCUUGCUUAUAUCGAAUGACAUAUGAAAAUAUCUAGAUAAACUCCAUCCAUCGCGCAUGCCUCUUAUUCAACUUGUGCUGACCGUUCAAAUAUUUCAAUGAUUCAUUAUCGGUGUGGAUCACAAACUCCUUGGGCCACAGGUAAUGUUGCCAUGUCUCUAAAGCUCUAACCGAAGCGUACAUCUCUUUGUCAUAAGUAAGAUAGUUCAAAGUUGCCCCACUCAAUUUUUCACUGAAAUACACCACUAGUUUUCCUUCUUGCAUUAAAACAAUUCCAAUUCGUAACCCUGAAGUAUCACACUCAAUUUCAAAAGUUUUAGCGGAGUUAGGCAAAAUAAGUAAAGGAGCAUUUGUCAAUUUAUCCUUAAUCAAAUUAAAUUUUUUUUCCUAAUCAUCACCCCACUUAAAGCCCACACUUUUCUUAAUGACCUCGAUCAAUGCUGCUGUAAUCUCACUAAAAUUCUGAACAAAGCGUCGAUAGAAACUUGCAAGUCCAUGAAAGUUUCGUACUUGACUCACAUUUGUCGGACUCGACCAAUCUCAGAUUGCACGUAUUUUCUUCUCAUCAACUUGGACUCUUUGUGAACUCAUAAAAAAACCAAGAAAAAGAAUUAUAUCCGAACAAAACAUGCACUUUUCUAUGUUAACAAUAACUUUUUCUUUCGAAGUACAUCUAAAAUAGAUUUUAAAUGUAAUGCACGCUCACCCAAGUUUUUGCUAUUAAUGAGAAUAUAAUCAAAGUAAACAACGACAAAAUUUUCCUAUGAAUGGAUGCAAGACAUGAUUCAUUAGACACAUGAAAGUACUAGGUGCAUUAGUUAAACCAAAAGAUAACAUUAACCACUCAUAAAGUCCAUAUUUUGUUUUGAAUUUCAGUUUCCAUUCAUCACCCUCUUGCAUUCUUAUUUGAUGAUAACAACUUUUUAAGUCAAUUUUAGAAAAUAUGAAUGACCAGUGCAAUUCAUCCAAUAUGUCAUUUAAACGAGGAAUGAGCAGCACCGGCCCUGGGCUAAAGCCCAAGGUUCCUGGGCUUUAGGCCCACUUAAAUUGACAAAUUUUUAGGCCCCCCAAGAGGUAUUUGUGUUAUAUAUAUAUACCCAAAUAAAAGAGACCAGCCCACGUCAGUUUAAAUUUAAAUGAUCACAAAAAAUUUACCCAAUGAAAUAGGCCCAAAUUUUUUUAUUUUCUCUUUAGGCCAUUAAAAACUCAGGGCCGACCCUGGGAAUGAGAUGUCGAUACUUUACUGUAAUAUUAUUUAUCGCUCAACAAUCAAUGUAUAUCUUUCAUUUUCCAUCUUUUUUUGGCACUAGGAUCAUCGAAACUGUACAUGGGCUCAUACUUUCUCUUACGAACCCCUUUUCCAUUAGCUUGUCAACUUACCUUUGUAACUCCUUCGUCUUCUCAAGGUUACUCUGAUAAGCCGGACGAUUUGGAAUGGUCGCACCUGGAACAAAAUCAUUUUGAUGUUCGAUCCCCAAAUAGGUGGUAGUCCUUGAGGAAGCUCCUCGAGAAACACAUCCUUGUAAUCCUGCAAAAGAGAUGAAACAACACUAGGCAAAAAAUCAUUAGCGUUAGUAUUCAAAAGCGCCUCUUUAUACCAAAGUAAAAUUAUAGGCUGUUUAGAAACCAAAGUUUUUCUCACAUCAUUCUUUUUUGUAAAAAUGUUUGUUUUCCUCUCUUCUUUAUUUCUCUCUUUCUUUUUCUCUCUUAUUUUUCUUUUCUUCACUUUUUUUAACAUGGUCUUUUUGCAAAUGAAUUUGAUCCUCAUGCACCUGUUUUGGUGACACAGGACACAAGGUAAAAUUCUUUUUAUUAUGUACAAAAGAUUAUUCAUCAGUGAAGCCAUCGUGCUUCACUCGUCUAUCAAAUAUAUUGCCAUGGUCUCCCAAGUAGUAAAUGUCCAGCUUACAUUAGAACCACGUCACAUAAAACAUCAUCCACAUAUUUUAAUAGUAAACGGAACCAACACAUGCUUUGUCACUCUCACGUCUCCACUAUCAUUAAGCCAUAUCAAUCUAUACGGUUGAGGAUGUUUGGUUGUUGACAAUCCUAGUUUCUCUACCAUGGUUGUACUCGCCACGUUGGUGCAACUCCCACAAUCAAUUACCAUGCAAAAAAAUUUCCCUUGCAUAAGACACCUAGUGUGGAAUAAGUUCUCUCGCUAUUCCAAAAUUUCCUCUUUCACUUGCGCACUAAUCGCUCUUCUCGUAACCAACAUCUCGCCAUGCAUAACAACCUCCCUAUCAUCAACCUCCUCUAACAGUGGCAUAGAGUCUGUGUCACUAUCUUCCCCCUCGGUUUCCACCUCUCCAUUGUCAAGUACAACAAAGUUCUCUGAUUUGGACAUUGACUAGAAAUAUGUCCCCCUGCCUUCACAUUUAAAGCAUACAAUAUCUCGAUUGCGACUAAAAGAAGAAGGUUCAGUUUUACCUUGUUUUCCAUGAUUAGUCACCUCCGGUUUAAACUCCACUUUCGGCUUAUUCACAGCUGGCUUCUCCUCAAACUUCACAACAUUAAAUUUUCAUGACGAACCUAUGGUAGGAUUAGAAUGCUGGCCACCUCUCUUCUUAAGUUGUUUCUCAAUCUUGAUAGCCAUGUGCACCGCCAAUUCCACAUAAUGUUAUCGUUUCACCAAGUCAGCUAUAUCCCAAUUUAACCCGGCUGAAAAUUGAGCCAUGGUUGACUCAUUAUCCUCAUCUAUGUUAGCUCGGGCCAUUAACAACUCCAUCUCUUUGAAGUAGUCCUCCACACUCCUACUCCCAUGUUUCAGAUUUUGCAAACUUCUAAACAAAUCUUAAUGGUAGUGACUCAGUACGAAUCUUUUUUUCAUGAUUGCCUUCAUCUCCGCCCAAGUUUCGAUUGGACGUUCCCCACAUUCCCUAUUGCUAGUAAUCAACUGAUCCCACUAAGUAACUGCAUAAUCUGAAAAUUUGGUAACAACUAGUCUAACUUUCUUGAGAUCUGAAGAAUUGUAACAAUUAAAGGGUAAAAUGCAAAGUAGACCACUGAACUUUAGGGGUCUUUGGGUAUUGAGCCCUUUUCUUUUGGUCAACGCAAAUUGAGCCCCUUUCUAUUAAAAAAUUUGGACUUCGAGCCCCAGGUGCCACAUGUGCGUUGACCUGCAUACGUGGCGCCUACGUGGCAGAUCUGACGUGGAUAUUUUUUAUUUUAUUUUACACAUGGACGCUGACGUGGCGAAUAAAUAUUAAACUUAAUCCCAAAAAUUAUGUUGCUGCCAUGGUUCGAACUCUUGACCUCUAGCUUAAAACUUGGAACCAAUGACCAACUAAGCAAAGAAGCCUAAUUGUUAUAAUUUUGCAAGGAUUAAUAUUUAUAAUUGAACAAAUCAUUUCCCCCAAAUUAAAACAAAUCCCCUAUCCUUAUAUCUGUUAUGUACAUAACUAAAACAAUAACAACAACAACAAUUAUUAAUAAUAAUAAUAAUAACAAUACUGAUAAUAAUAAUAAUAAUAAUAAUAAUAAUUAUUAUUAUUAUUAUUAUUAGUACUGUUAUUAUUAUUAUUAUUAUUAUUAUUAUUAUUAUUAUUAUUAUUAUUAUUAUUAUUAUUAUUAUUAUUAUUAUUAUUAUUAUUAUUAUUAUUGUUGUUGUUGUUAUUGUUUUAGUUAUGUACAUAACAGAUCUAAGGAUAGGGGAUUUGUUUUAAUUUGGGGGAAAUGAUUUGUUCAGUUAUAAAUAUUAAUCCUUGCUAAAUUAUAACAACUAGGCUUCUUUGCUCAGUUGGUCAUUGAUUCCAAGUUUUAAGCUAGAGGUCAAGAGUUCGAAUCAUGGCAGCAACAUAAUUUUUGGGAUUAAGUUCAAUAUUUAUUCACCACGUCAGCAUCCACGUGUAAAAUAAAAUAAAAAUAUCCACGUCAGAUCUGCCACGUAGGCGCCACGUAUGCAAGUCAACGCACAUGUGGCGCCUAGGGCUCGAAGUCCAAAUUUUUUAAUAGAAAGGGGCUCAAUUUGCGUUGACCAAAAGAAAAGGGCUCAAUACCCAAAAACUCCUAAAGUUCAGUGGUCUACUUUGCAUUUUACCCGACAAUUAAAUACCCAUUCUAUCUUCUUUUUCCAUUCUAAGUAUGCCUCUGGAUCACUCCUCCCUUGGAAAGUUGGGAUUUUCAUUUUAAUGCUACUCAUGUUAUCAUCUUUCUUAUUCCGACCUCCUCUUUCUCUAGCACCUCUUUGCCUUCGCUGUUUGAAAUCAGAUUCACGAUCUUCCUCCUCACUAAAUCCACCUUUAAAGUGAUUUUCCUCCGUUCUAGCUUCUCGUUGUUGUGUUCUUCCCUUUUUAUGUGCUCCAUGAGAAAUUUGAGAUGAUUCCCCUUGGGUCUCACUAAUCUGGUCAAGACGUACAUUCAUCAUCACCCAUCUCAUGUUUCAUUCUUUAUUCAUGGCUUCCAACAUAAACUUCAUAUCAAACGUUGUGGAAGAUGGAUCUUCAAAAGUCCCUUUAUCUUUAUAACUAGACAUAAUUCCUACAAAACAAGGGUUAGUAGAAAACAAUUUCUUCACCAUUCCCUUAUGUGUUUCACUCGAAUCAAUGGAUUUGCUCGUGUAUGCACUCAAAAUUUGGCUUUUACCCUCGAUUAAUCUCACUACUGAGCCUCUUACCUCUAAAUAUUCUCUCUAAUAGGUUAUUUUUGAAUUCUCCUAGCAAAAUUUCUUGGUUUUAAUAAUCAAUUCAAAAAUUACUUAUCACGAAACAAGAUAUAUGAGGUAGGAAUCCUCACGAUAUAGCAUACAAUCGACAAGAAUUAAAAAUCUGAAGAAAAAAAAAUUACACCCUUUUUUUAAUUUUUAAUUUUUUAUUUUUUAUUUUUUUACUCGACAAAUUCAAACAGAAAAUGAAAGGAUAAGUAACUCGCUAGAAGACUUAGCUUUGACACUGAAUGAUAGACUCCACGACACACUUGCAUGAGGUGGUCGUCGCCUGGAUCGUUUCUAGCACAGUCGAUAGAGUGAAACUCUCUCGACACUUCAAUCCAACGUCUAUAUUGAGACGAGAACCUUGGUACAAUCGAUCAAACAAUGAAAUCAGUGUUAAAUGGAACCAACGACACUUAAAUCCCGUGUUUAUAUUGAAACAGGAACCUCAGCUUAAUCGACGAUUGAUGCGGUAGAAGACGACACACACAGUUAUGAAUUAUUGUAUGAUAAGUCAAAUUGAAUCUCAAAGAACAACUAAGAAAUUAGCUUAGAAAUUCUUCAAAUAACCAAAAGUAGCGAAUAAUUCUCACAAGAAUUGAUAAAUAUGAAUAUUGAAUAAUUGUUAUAUGAAUUACAUUUAAAUGACUUAUUUAUACUAAUAAGAAAAUCCUAGAAUCCAAUAAGAAAUUAACAACUAGAUUUGGAAUCAAAAUCAUAUCUAUUAGAAUCCUAAUUACAUUAGAAAUAUGAAAGAUAUUGGCACAUCCCUAAAUAUAUGGAAAUAAAUAAAAGAAAUCUGCUGAAAAACGUGUAAAAUAUGAUCAAAAAUGCAUCCUCAAAAAUUAUGCCUGCGACCUGGCGCGACAGCGCCAUGACUCCAGAGUUGAUACUCUUUCCUAGCGCGGCAGGGCCAGAAUUCCCGAACUUGAUGGCAAACCUUGGAUAAUUGGCGCGACAGUGCCAAGUUCUUCAAAACUCCAGCGCGGUAGCGCCGGUUGCCCCGAACUUGAUCCUUUGCACAUUUUUGAGUCUUGACUUAGCACAACUAUUUGCACUACGUUUACAAAAUUAGACUCCCACUCCAAUACCUCUAAACUCGUUCCUUUCUCACUCCAAACUCCUUGAAUAAGUUCAUUAAGCCUUUCUUUGAAAUGUUUUUCUAGACCUCUCGUCACGGAUCCAACUGGAACCUGCACCGGAUCCGCUCCAUUAAGGUGAGCAUGGUGCAGUUUGGUGCGGUUUGGACUUCAAACCGCACCCAAAACCGCUUAGGUUCGGUUUGACAAAUCCAAAAUUGCAUACGAAACCGCUUAUGGUUGGUGCAGUGCGAUUUUAAACUAUGCGGUACGGUUUCAAUUAGUGCGGUUUCGGUUUCAAAACCAAUUGAAACAACAAAAAUGUCUAAGCCUUCAAUAGAAUUUAACACAGAGCUCACAGUGAGCAAUUAACUUAGUGACAGAGUAAGGAAUGAGAAUUAUAUCAAGCAUAGAAACAAAGAUCUUUCUGCCAAACAUGUCAAAUUCACCAUCAAAUCAUAGAACAGUGAGACACAUAAAAUAGUUUUAGUUUAUAAUAAAGGAAUGAUGCUUUAAAACUAAAAUAUACACUAUAUAAAACAACGGAGACUAUAUAUUCGAUAACAAGCAAGAAGGUUUAUCUAGUUCCCAAAAAAUUUAAAGUAUAUACUGAAGAUAGAAUGAAAUUUUAUCUUAUAUGUUGCAGGGAGGACUUAUAGAAUAUAAUCAUAACUAUAUUUAAUUUGAAAAAUAAUCUAUUAGACUAUUAUCGCUAAAACAAAGACCUUAACCAAUACAUCAAGUGCUCGAACCAAUGAAUUUGGCCAAUCAGCUAUAAGCCCCUCCAGUAACGCAUCAAACAAAUCCGACAUUCCAAUACCCAAAUGCUUAAUUUUUGACUCUAUAACCUCUAACCAUCUACUUUCAAUUGGUGAAAAAAUGGCAAUGCAAGGCUGGAGUUUUCUCUGAGCGUGUUCAAGUGAAAAAUAACUUUAGAAUUUACUAGAGAUAAUACGUACAUUCACACACAUGGUGCGGUUUCGGUUUUAUGCAUGCGGUUUUGGCUAGUAACCAAACCGGAACAAAAAAUUUGGUUAUUCAACCCACCUAAAACCGCCACAUACGCCGGAACCGUUGGUGCGGUAUAAUUGGUACGGUUCGUGCGGUUUCGAUUCCAAUUUGGUUACUUGCUCAACCCUACGCUCCAUAACUUCCAUUUGAAUUCCAGCUAGGCAUGUCCUCAUCAGUAGCGUUGAAUCAAAAAGGCAAGUUUUUCGUUUUUCGUUUGUAUCAAGUGAACUUGAUAUUGGUUAUAUGCAAUUAUUGUUGUUUUGUGAUGCGAUUAUUAGGAAUAUGUUGAAAUGCGUGUGUUGGAUUGCAAUAUUAUAUGAAUUGUUUUAGUCAAAUUAUGACUAAACGUCAAUUGAGUUACAGAUACUCAAUUUAUUUGUCAUAUGUGAAUUGAGAUAUGUGAGAAAUGUUAAAAUUGGCAUCACAUGAAGUAUGAUCUAAAUAUAAUAUGAUGAAAUUGAAAGCUCGCACGUGAGAAUGCAUAUUAUGAAAUAUAUAGAGAAUAUGUAAAUGUACUGCAUAAGUAUUAUGAUGCAUAUAUAAAAUGUAUAACAUGAGCAACAUGAUGCAUAAUUGUAAUGCAUAGUAGGUUGGAUGUGAUGCAUGAAAACUGUUAGACUUACUGGGCUAUCACGCUCAUUCUUGCAAAUAAAUUUUAGUUGCAGUUAAAUGAAGACAUUUCUGAAGAACAUGGCAGUAGAAUGGAAGUGCGCAUAGAAAACUAUAAACUAUUAUUUUAUUAUUAUUAUUUUAUUAUGUGUUAAGUCAUAAUGACUUAUUGUAUUCAAACAGAAGCCAGUUGUAAUGAUGAAGUUUUCGGAUAAUAGAUAUUCGUUUUGAAACUGAGAUUUAAGGUUUACGUUUGUUAUUAUAAAGUCAAGUUACAUUAUGGAUGUAUUAUACAAAGAAUAAUGUAUGUUAAUAUGUUAUGAGUAUAUUACUCUCUUUGGGAA